rnacentral:rRNA from 1 species
GAUGAACGCUAGCGGCAGGCUUAAUACAUGCAAGUCGAGGGGCAUCAAGGUACACGAAAGUGUAUUGUUGGCGACCGGCGGACGGGUGAGUAAUAGGUAGGUAACCUACCUCAUACUGAGGCAUAGCUGGGAGAAAUUCCAGGUAAUUCCUCAUGAGGUUAUAUGACACAUGUGAUAUAAUCAAAGGUAUCGCAAGGUACUGGUAUGAGAUGGGCUUACUGACCAUUAGCUAGUUGGUGAGAUAAGAGCUCACCAAGGCGAAGAUGGUUAGGGGUUUGAGAGAGAGAUCCCCCACAUUGGAACUGAGAUACGGUCCAGACUCCUACGGGAGGCAGCAGUAGGGAAUAUUGGGCAAUGGGCGGAAGCCUGACCCAGCCAUGCCGCGUGAAGGAAGACGGCCUUAAUGGGUUGUAAACUUCUUUACUAUGCGACUAACUAGAUUUACGAGAUAAUUCUAUAGAAUGUAGCAUAGCAAAAAGCACCGGA